GAACGAACGCUGGCGGCGUGCUUAACACAUGCAAGUCGAACGCGAAAGGGACUUCGGUCCUGAGUAAAGUGGCGCACGGGUGAGUAACGCGUAGAUAACCUGUCUUCAUGUCUGGAAUAAUACGCCGAAAGGGGUACUAAUACCGGAUAUUCUUGCUUUUCAUAAGUAUGCAAGCAAAGGUGGCCUCUGCAUAUGCUACUGCAUGAAGAGGGGUCUGCGUACCAUUAGCUAGUAGGUGGGGUAAUGGCCUACCUAGGCGACGAUGGUUAGCGGGUCUGAGAGGAUGAUCCGCCACACUGGCACUGGAACACGGGCCAGACUCCUACGGGAGGCAGCAGUGAGGAAUAUUGCGCAAUGGGGGAAACCCUGACGCAGCGACGCCGCGUGAAGUGAGGAAGGCCUUCGGGUCGUAAAGCUCUGUCAAGAGGAAAGAAGUGUACAAUGGCUAAUACCUGUUGUAUUUGACGGUACCUCUAAAGGAAGCACCGGCUAACUCCGUGCCAGCCGCCGC
rnacentral:rRNA from 1 species